GCGGAAGUAGUUCAGUGGUAGAACAUCACCUUGCCAUGGUGGGGGUCGCGGGUUCGAAUCACGUCUUCCGCUUCA
rnacentral:tRNA from 1 species